AUUGAACGCUGGCGGCAGGCCUAACACAUGCAAGUCGAGCGGAUGAAGGGAGCUUGCUCCUGGAUUCAGCGGCGGACGGGUGAGUAAUGCCUAGGAAUCUGCCUGGUAGUGGGGGAUAACGUCCGGAAACGGGCGCUAAUACCGCAUACGUCCUGAGGGAGAAAGUGGGGGAUCUUCGGACCUCACGCUAUCAGAGGAGCCUAGGUCGGAUUAGCUAGUUGGUGGGGUAAAGGCCUACCAAGCGGACGAUCCGUAACUGGUCUGAGAGGAUGAUCAGUCACACUGGAACUGGGACACGGUCCAGACUCCUACGGGAGGCAGCAGUGGGGAAUAUUGGACAAUGGGCGAAAGCCUGGUCCAGCCAUGCCGCGUGUGUGAAGAAGGUCUUCGGAUUGUAAAGCACUUUAAGUUGGGAGGAAGGGCAGUAAGUUAAUACCUUGCUGUUUUGACGUUACCAACAGAAUAAGCACCGGCUAACUUCGUG
rnacentral:rRNA from 1 species